GGGUUGUGAGGUUAAGCGACUAAGCGUACACGGUGGAUGCCCUGGCAGUCAGAGGCGAUGAAGGACGUGCUAAUCUGCGAUAAGCGUCGGUAAGGUGAUAUGAACCGUUAUAACCGGCGAUUUCCGAAUGGGGAAACCCAGUGUGUUUCGACACACUAUCAUUAACUGAAUCCAUAGGUUAAUGAGGCGAACCGGGGGAACUGAAACAUCUAAGUACCCCGAGGAAAAGAAAUCAACCGAGAUUCCCCCAGUAGCGGCGAGCGAACGGGGAGCAGCCCAGAGCCUGAAUCAGUGUGUGUGUUAGUGGAAGCGUCUGGAAAGGCGCGCGAUACAGGGUGACAGCCCCGUACACAAAAAUGCACAUGCUGUGAGCUCGAUGAGUAGGGCGGGACACGUGGUAUCCUGUCUGAAUAUGGGGGGACCAUCCUCCAAGGCUAAAUACUCCUGACUGACCGAUAGUGAACCAGUACCGUGAGGGAAAGGCGAAAAGAACCCCGGCGAGGGGAGUGAAAAAGAACCUGAAACCGUGUACGUACAAGCAGUGGGAGCACGCUUAGGCGUGUGACUGCGUACCUUUUGUAUAAUGGGUCAGCGACUUAUAUUCUGUAGCAAGGUUAACCGAAUAGGGGAGCCGAAGGGAAACCGAGUCUUAACUGGGCGUUAAGUUGCAGGGUAUAGACCCGAAACCCGGUGAUCUAGCCAUGGGCAGGUUGAAGGUUGGGUAACACUAACUGGAGGACCGAACCGACUAAUGUUGAAAAAUUAGCGGAUGACUUGUGGCUGGGGGUGAAAGGCCAAUCAAACCGGGAGAUAGCUGGUUCUCCCCGAAAGCUAUUUAGGUAGCGCCUCGUGAAUUCAUCUCCGGGGGUAGAGCACUGUUUCGGCAAGGGGGUCAUCCCGACUUACCAACCCGAUGCAAACUGCGAAUACCGGAGAAUGUUAUCACGGGAGACACACGGCGGGUGCUAACGUCCGUCGUGAAGAGGGAAACAACCCAGACCGCCAGCUAAGGUCCCAAAGUCAUGGUUAAGUGGGAAACGAUGUGGGAAGGCCCAGACAGCCAGGAUGUUGGCUUAGAAGCAGCCAUCAUUUAAAGAAAGCGUAAUAGCUCACUGGUCGAGUCGGCCUGCGCGGAAGAUGUAACGGGGCUAAACCAUGCACCGAAGCUGCGGCAGCGACGCUGAUGCGUUGUUGGGUAGGGGAGCGUUCUGUAAGCCUGCGAAGGUGUGCUGUGAGGCAUGCUGGAGGUAUCAGAAGUGCGAAUGCUGACAUAAGUAACGAUAAAGCGGGUGAAAAGCCCGCUCGCCGGAAGACCAAGGGUUCCUGUCCAACGUUAAUCGGGGCAGGGUGAGUCGACCCCUAAGGCGAGGCCGAAAGGCGUAGUCGAUGGGAAACAGGUUAAUAUUCCUGUACUUGGUGUUACUGCGAAGGGGGGACGGAGAAGGCUAUGUUGGCCGGGCGACGGUUGUCCCGGUUUAAGCGUGUAGGCUGGUUUUCCAGGCAAAUCCGGAAAAUCAAGGCUGAGGCGUGAUGACGAGGCACUACGGUGCUGAAGCAACAAAUGCCCUGCUUCCAGGAAAAGCCUCUAAGCAUCAGGUAACAUCAAAUCGUACCCCAAACCGACACAGGUGGUCAGGUAGAGAAUACCAAGGCGCUUGAGAGAACUCGGGUGAAGGAACUAGGCAAAAUGGUGCCGUAACUUCGGGAGAAGGCACGCUGAUAUGUAGGUGAAGUCCCUCGCGGAUGGAGCUGAAAUCAGUCGAAGAUACCAGCUGGCUGCAACUGUUUAUUAAAAACACAGCACUGUGCAAACACGAAAGUGGACGUAUACGGUGUGACGCCUGCCCGGUGCCGGAAGGUUAAUUGAUGGGGUUAGCCGCAAGGCGAAGCUCUUGAUCGAAGCCCCGGUAAACGGCGGCCGUAACUAUAACGGUCCUAAGGUAGCGAAAUUCCUUGUCGGGUAAGUUCCGACCUGCACGAAUGGCGUAAUGAUGGCCAGGCUGUCUCCACCCGAGACUCAGUGAAAUUGAACUCGCUGUGAAGAUGCAGUGUACCCGCGGCAAGACGGAAAGACCCCGUGAACCUUUACUAUAGCUUGACACUGAACAUUGAGCCUUGAUGUGUAGGAUAGGUGGGAGGCUUUGAAGUGUGGACGCCAGUCUGCAUGGAGCCGACCUUGAAAUACCACCCUUUAAUGUUUGAUGUUCUAACGUUGACCCGUAAUCCGGGUUGCGGACAGUGUCUGGUGGGUAGUUUGACUGGGGCGGUCUCCUCCUAAAGAGUAACGGAGGAGCACGAAGGUUGGCUAAUCCUGGUCGGACAUCAGGAGGUUAGUGCAAUGGCAUAAGCCAGCUUGACUGCGAGCGUGACGGCGCGAGCAGGUGCGAAAGCAGGUCAUAGUGAUCCGGUGGUUCUGAAUGGAAGGGCCAUCGCUCAACGGAUAAAAGGUACUCCGGGGAUAACAGGCUGAUACCGCCCAAGAGUUCAUAUCGACGGCGGUGUUUGGCACCUCGAUGUCGGCUCAUCACAUCCUGGGGCUGAAGUAGGUCCCAAGGGUAUGGCUGUUCGCCAUUUAAAGUGGUACGCGAGCUGGGUUUAGAACGUCGUGAGACAGUUCGGUCCCUAUCUGCCGUGGGCGCUGGAGAACUGAGGGGGGCUGCUCCUAGUACGAGAGGACCGGAGUGGACGCAUCACUGGUGUUCGGGUUGUCAUGCCAAUGGCACUGCCCGGUAGCUAAAUGCGGAAGAGAUAAGUGCUGAAAGCAUCUAAGCACGAAACUUGCCCCGAGAUGAGUUCUCCCUGACCCUUUAAGGGUCCUGAAGGAACGUUGAAGACGACGACGUUGAUAGGCCGGGUGUGUAAGCGCAGCGAUGCGUUGAGCUAACCGGUACUAAUGAACCGUGAGGCUUAACCUUACAACGCCA
rnacentral:rRNA from 1 species